rnacentral:tRNA from 1 species
GCCUCUGUAGUUUAACCUGGAUAGAAUGCGAGCUUGCGGAGCUUGUGAUCAGGGUUCAAAUCCCUGCAGAGGCG